AACGUAGGAGGCAAGCGUUAUCCGGAGUUACUGGGCGUAAAGCGCGUGUAGGUGGAUCGGUAAGUUACUUAUAAAAGCUCCUGGCUAAACUAGGAGAGGUUGAGUGAUACUGCCAGUCUUGAAUAGAGGAGAGGUUGACGGAAUUCCCAGUGUAGCGGUGAAAUGCGUAGAUACUGGGAGGAACACCGGUGGCGAAGGCGGCUACCUGGACCGGUUCUGACGCUAAUGCGCGAAAGCGUGGGUAGCAAACAGG
rnacentral:rRNA from 1 species